rnacentral:pre_miRNA from 1 species
AUCACCUGGGAUUGUGUUAAGAGGCAGAUUCUGAUUCAGCAGGUCUAAGAUAGGGUCUGAGGUUCUGCAUUUCUAGCAAGUUCCCUGGUGAUGGUGA